UGGCUCUAGCAUCGAUGAAGAACGCAGCGAAAUGCGAUAAGUAAUGCGAAUUGCAGAAUUCAGUGAAUCAUCGAAUCUUUGAACGCACAUUGCGCCCGCCAGUAUUCUGGCGGGCAUGCCUGUCUGAGCGUCAUUUCAACCCUCGUCCCCCCCUUGUUGGGGGGGCGGUGUUGGGGAUGGGCCUGCCCUAGGGCCGGCCCGCCCCUAAAUGUAGUGGCGACCACGCCGUAGCCUCCUCUGCGUAGUAGUAACUCACCUCGCGGGCGGAGAGCGGUGCGGUCCGCCGUAAAACCCCCUACUUUCUCAAGGUUGACCUCAGAUCAGGUAGGAAUACCCGCUGA
rnacentral:misc_RNA from 1 species